rnacentral:rRNA from 1 species
UACGUAGGUGACAAGCGUUGUCCGGAUUUACUGGGCGUAAAGAGCGCGCAGGCGGUCGAUCAAGUCGAGUGUGAAAGCCCCCCGGCUCAACUGGGGAGGGUCAUUCGAUACUGAUCGACUCGAAGGCAGGAGAGGGUAGUGGAAUUCCCGGUGUAGUGGUGAAAUGCGUAGAUAUCGGGAGGAACACCAGUGGCGAAGGCGGCGAUCUGGGCAGAUACUGACGCUGAGGUGCGAAAGCGUGGGGAGCAAACAGG